GCCCCGCCCCCAGCGCUGAGGGCAGCGCGCGGCGCCGCAGCCGUUGGAGCCGUUGGCGCUGAGGGGAGCGCGGCGGCGAGACGGCCCGGGAAGCGGCUCAUGGGGCCCGGCCCGGCCCGGGGUUACCGCGGCCGGCGGGGAGCGCGGCAGAGCCGUUGCUGCGGUAGCGCUGCCGCCGCGAAGGUGUUUUCGCGGCCGGUCAGCCGCGCUGCCAAGGAGCGAACUGCUAAUGUUAGGAAAAUAAAUGGCUCUUACAGUAACAAUCAGUGUUAGCUGAGCGAGCCGGUGAGGCAGAGGCGACAGACCCGUGACCGCUUCGAGUCCGGAGAGGGAGCCCCGUCCUUCACAAAGCUCACUCAAGUCGCGAGGGCUGAGCAGAGGGGUGAGGGCAGAGCAGAGCCCCGCGGGUCUGGCUAGGCAGAGGCGCCGGGCUGUGUUCCCUGCUCCCACCUGCAGGAAAUGUGUAUGCUAAUUAACGGCCCAGAUUAUAUAGCAGACAAUGAUCCCGUGCAUGCUUCUACCCUAAGUUUCUAAGAAUUCGUACACAGAGGAAAAAUAAACAUCCAGAUGCAGAGCUGUUAAUGCUAAGAAUCGAAGGAGAGGUGGCAGAAGUAUGGGUGGAGACGUGUCCUCUUCACACUGUGGAUAACAAGAAGGAGAAAAAGCCUGUGUGUGAGUGGGACAAGGUUAGCUCUCCAGCCACCCUCUGCAGAACUGAAACCAGGCUGCAGAGAAGGUGCCUCGAGUUGACCUUUUCCUGUAGCCUGGGUUGGAGGCAGCCAGCUGUUCUUGAAAGCCUUCUCAGUGGCUGAAGCCUGGAAGCAGCAACAUAUGAAACAGUGUUCUUGUCUCAGCUGAACUAAAGUACAUCCUCUGUCACAAAGACAGGUGGGUAAAAGACUUGUUCUUCCCUUGGGGACAGACUAAGAUAAUAUGCAAGGAUUCUUUCAUUUAUUUUGGCUGGCUUCUCACUGAGUUGUUUGCAUCCUGCUGAAGUGUCCUGUAACUGAGAUGUGAAUAAUUCAGCUCCACCUUUAAGGGACCUUCUUUGACCAUCCAAAGGGCUCUGCAGAAAUAGUCUGUCACAUGCACUGAUGUAUGGAGGAAGCGUUGAGCAGGAGUUGCGGCUAGCCAUGUGCCUUAGAGAACAGCAGCAGCACCACCGCAAGGGUGUCCGGCAUGUCUCCCAGAGCCCGUGGCAGGAAAGCGUAAGCCCUAAGAAACUUUGAGCAAAUUUUCAGGGAAGUUGGGUGUUUCCCCAGUAGUGAGGACUGAGAAGUAUGGGGAUGUUCCUGUUCUCUGACUGAAGCGCUCGGAGGUGCCGCAGGCGCGAAAGCCCGGGCAGCGACGCUGCGUCCGGCCCUGCUCCCGCCGGCUCGGGCUGUGCCGGAUGCCCCGGGUGGAUCCAGCCCUGGGGUAUAUCUGUCUGCCUCGGUUUCCAGUCCUAAACGAGCAGGAGUCAAGGAAUUUUAAGUGUGCAGAUUGAUGACCAAAGGUUGUGGUUCCUGUCUCAGCAAUGGAGAAACGACCGUCUCAGAGAGGGAUCUAAUGUAGUUGGUUUACUGCCAGAUGGGAAAACCACCUCACACCCAGCUGUGAACGGGGAGACUCCAGACAACGCUGCGGACUCGGAUCAGUCUCGCGGCAGAGUCGGGCCCUCGCAGGUCCCUGCCAUUCGCUGGGUGCUCGCGGCAGCUAGCUCAUGCGAAAUGGGAAGGAGAUGUUAAAAAUCAUUCUCACUCUAUUCUAGACAUCCUUAAAGCUGGCAUAGCCAGAGGAGGAGAUUUUUUUUUUUCCAUGCAGUUUAUAACAGAAUACUAUGCGCAGCGGAGAGGCCGUGUUUCGCUUUGUAUUCAAUUUCUACAGGAUUGAAAGAAAAUAGAGGAGUCCUAUCCGUGUGUCACGGACACAAUGACGGGAAUGAAUGAACCUGGUGCCCUCUUGCCUGAUCGCAGCGCGGUGCUGGAUUUGGUGCAUUUAAGGCACAUGUUGUGGCUGCAUCCGUGGGAGGCUGGAGGUCGGGUGCCUCCAGGCACCUCUCCGUGCCCAGGGCAACGAUGAGCACGACCAGCUCCGACACGAGACGCUGCAGAUAUUGUCCUGCCAGGAAACCCAGGAGAAGGUUGGAGAUAAAGCAGGUAAACACGAGCCAGAACGUCUCCUGCCAAAAGGUGAAGGGCAAAUCUGCAUUUAGGAGAUAGGAAGGUGGCACAGCCAAGCUCCUCGCUGGAAGGGCUGAUCUGGAGGUCAAGCAGCUCCCAGGGAAAGGCUGCACCCGGUGCAGGUGACGUGGUGGUCGCUCCUAUUCCUGUCCUGUGUCUCUGCCAAUUGGGCAGCUGUGCAAGGAAAUCUGUAUCUGCGUGGAAGCAGCAGCCGCCCUGUGCAGGACAAAUAAAACCCAGCAUUUCCUUCUUCACCGCUCUUCCCACGGCUCUGCCUCCGGACGCUCCCCAGGCUAAAAGCUGACGGGGACCUGAAAAGCGAUUAGGCAACUUUAUUGGAAAAAAGAUCCGUCUUAAAUGGAAUCACCCUAUCCCUGCUCUUGCCUGUGAAAUUUCCCGUAGGAGAAGCUGCGAGUAGCUGGCCAGAGGGCUCCUAGCGCCGCGAGUCCUUGGUUCGGUUUGGCCCCUUUUAUAUCAAGCCGGUGAAACGCUGCAUUUUUUGAUCUAGAGUAUGUCACCUGCAGAAAAUGAAAUUUCAUUCUGAUGCCUCAUCAGUUUAUCCAUCCUGGGAUGCUCGUGAACUCCUGGGCAGAUUAUUUUCUCAUACACUUGGAUGGAUGAUGGUUCCUUGGCUGAUAAGCUGCUCCGGCAUUUGAAGAAUGACGUAUAAGGCUGUGUGUGCAUCCACCAAACGGCUGAAGGAAAAGGAACAGAAAUAAAACUAAUUUGCAGAAAAUGAUUAAGUGGGUUUUUGAGUUGUUUGUUUUUAAUGGAGGAAAUGAUCAAUUGUUUGCAAAAAUAUGGCAUAACUAGGAAGUUGAUAAAGUCAUUCUGAUUUCCAAAUAGGCAAAAUGCUGGGUGUCCUCAGAAAAGCAACCAGCAGAGUGAAUGAUGCAACAUGGACAUCCCGCACAGUGCCUGGGAGCACAGGACCGCUUGAGAACAAUUCUCAGGAUUUUCCAUGCCACGUUAUAAGGGAAAGCACUCCCUUGUCAUCUAGACAGAAGAAAAUAGAAAAUGAUCUUAAAUUCCUGAAAUUUGCUAUCAGGUUUUAGAUUAAAAGCUCUCUCUGAUCAUAUAUACAGAUGCUCUUAAAGAAUUGUCCUUGUGGACUUCUUGAGCUUGUCUGAGAGUCAGUGUUAUCUAAUGGAUAAAGCAUUCCUCGGAGGGCUAAACUGUGGUAUUGUUUUUAUUAAAAAAAAAAACUUCUAAAUUCAUAUGGCAACAAAUUGUUUCAGUGCAUGCUCAUACAAAGCCCAGUGCAACUGGAUUUCUCAGGAUUUGCAGGUGAUUCUGUAAUAAAAACACUGCCAUUUAUAAUAUAAUAGGAAAAUGAUUGCCUUUUCACUUUUUUUUGCUUUAUUUGAAUGCACAUUUGUAUUUAAAAUGCUCCUAAACUGGUUACCAGCAUUCUUAAUUAUUAAAAAACCAAUUCUGUAAAUAUUUUAUGCUGACUCCUAUAAUGGCUUUACUAACCACGUUGAUUGAGCAUUCUUUUAAGAAUGUUGUAAGUUAAAAAAAUUCAUCUACACCAAUUAUACAACCCAAAACAACUUUGAACUCUUUCAAAAAUAUUUUUCUUUUUUGUUUUUAAACAGUGCUAUUACUGGAUUAGAAAGGUAAACGUUUGCAACAUAAGUAGAAGGAAGAGAGUAUUUUGUUAUUUUCAGCCAUGGUUCUUAAAAUAAAUACUAAGAAAUAACCAAUUAUUGUAAAUAGAAAUAAUUUUGUUUCAGUGGGACUGUGAUAUGUAAAUGCCAUAGAAAACACCACAAUUUUGAAAAUAAACACUCAGGAGAG